UACGAAGGGGGCUAGCGUUGCUCGGAAUCACUGGGCGUAAAGGGCGCGUAGGCGGCGUUUUAAGUCGGGGGUGAAAGCCUGUGGCUCAACCACAGAAUGGCCUUUGAUACUGGGACGCUUGAGUAUGGUAGAGGUUGGUGGAACUGCGAGUGUAGAGGUGAAAUUCGUAGAUAUUCGCAAGAACACCGGUGGCGAAGGCGGCCAACUGGACCAUUACUGACGCUGAGGCGCGAAAGCGUGGGGAGCAAACAGG
rnacentral:rRNA from 1 species